rnacentral:rRNA from 1 species
GACGAACGCUGGCGGCGUGCUUAACACAUGCAAGUCACGGGGGCUCGGGGGCAACUUCGAGCAACCGGCGAACGGGUGCGUAACACGUGACCAACCUGCCCUCGUGUGGGGGGAUAGCCGGGCUAACGCCCGGGUAAUACCGCAUACGGUCCUUUGGGGGAGUCCCUGGGGGGAAGAAAGCCUGUGGCAACAUGGGCGCACGGGGAGGGGGUCGCGGCCUAUCAGCUGGGUUGGGGGGUA